AAGUCGUAACAAGGUUUCCGUAGGUGAACCUGCGGAAGGAUCAUUAUUGAAUAAACUUGAACAGGCUGUUGCUGUCUCCCACUUCAAGGGGUGUAUGUGCACGCUUGUCAUCUUUAUUUCUCCAACUGUGCACAUAUUGUAGACUCAGAAAGUUGAUUGAUUGUUUUUUAUCGAGUUGGGACUGCUGUGCUCUUUGAAAAAAGUGUCAGCUUUGCCUUUCAUUUUCUGGGUCUAUGUCACUUUUUACAAACCUUUGAAUCUGUUUAGAAUGUUGAAUAAGGUCCUUUUGUACCUAUAAAAGUUAUAUAUACAACUUUCAGCAACGGAUCUCUUGGCUCUCGCAUCGAUGAAGAACGCAGCGAAAUGCGAUAAGUAAUGCGAAUUGCAGAAUUCAGUGAAUCAUCGAAUCUUUGAACGCAUCUUGCGCUCCUUGGUAUUCCGAGGAGCAUGCCUGUUUGAGUGUCAUUUAGUUUCUCAACCACAACAGAUUCAAAGUUUUCUGAUGUGGCUUGGAUGUGGGGGGAAAUUUAUUUUGCAGGCUUUGAAACACGAAGUCGGCUCCCCUGAAACGCAUUAGUAGUAUCUGAGCAGAAAAAAAGUACUACAGGUGUGAUAACUUAUCUAUGCCUUUGUAUAUUCUGCAUGAAUGGAUUGCACUGCUUACAACCAAAAAUCUAUUUGACAAAUUUGACCUCAAAUCAGGUAGGACUACCCGCUGAACUUAAGCAUAUCAAUAAGCGGAGGAAAAGAAACUAACAAGGAUUCCCCUAGUAACUGCGAGUGAAGCGGGAAAAGCUCAAAUUUGAAAUCUGGCAGUCCUCGACUGUCCGAGUUGUAAUCUAGAGAA
rnacentral:misc_RNA from 1 species